UACGGGGGGGGCAAGCGUUGUUCGGAAUUACUGGGCGUAAAGGGCGCGUAGGCGGCCUGCUAAGUCGGAUGUGAAAUCCCUCGGCUCAACCGAGGAACUGCAUCCGAUACUGGCGGGCUUGAAUCCGGGAGAGGGAUGUGGAAUUCCAGGUGUAGCGGUGAAAUGCGUAGAUAUCUGGAGGAAUACCGGUGGCGAAGGCGGCAUCCUGGACCGGCAUUGACGCUGAGGAGCGAAAGCCAGGGGAGCAAACGGG
rnacentral:rRNA from 1 species